rnacentral:lncRNA from 1 species
CAAGUACUCAAGAAAAUAAUAAAAAUUGAACCAGUGUAAAUACCAUAAAAUAAACAUAAGAAGUUAAGCACUAUAUUUCUUGUUUACAAAAAAUAUAUGAUAUACAAAAUGAGAAGUGUGUCUACAUUACUGAACCAUUAAAAUGUAAUAAAACAAUCUAGAAUUGCCACAGUGAGACUUUUUAAGGCAGACACUAUCAACUUGAAAACAAAUUAC